rnacentral:rRNA from 1 species
GAUGAACGCUGGCGGCGUGCCUAAUACAUGCAAGUCGAGCGAACGGACGAGAAGCUUGCUUCUCUGAUGUUAGCGGCGGACGGGUGAGUAACACGUGGAUAACCUACCUAUAAGACUGGGAUAACUUCGGGAAACCGGAGCUAAUACCGGAUAAUAUUUUGAACCGCAUGGUUCAAAAGUGAAAGACGGUCUUGCUGUCACUUAUAGAUGGAUCCGCGCUGCAUUAGCUAGUUGGUAAGGUAACGGCUUACCAAGGCAACGAUGCAUAGCCGACUUGAGGGGGUGAUCGGCCACACUGGAACUGAGACACGGUCCAGACUCCUACGGGAGGCAGCAGUAGGGAAUCUUCCGCAAUGGGCGAAAGCCUGACGGAGCAACGCCGCGUGAGUGAUGAAGGUCUUCGGAUCGUAAAACUCUGUUAUUAGGGAAGAACAUAUGUGUAAGUAACUGUGCACAUCUUGACGGUACCUAAUCAGAAAGCCACGGCUAACUACGUG